AAGGCCUCUGCUUGCAGGGGUACUCGAGUGGCGAACGGGUGAGUAACACGUGGGUGAUCUGCCCUGCACUCUGGGAUAAGCCUGGGAAACUGGGUCUAAUACCAGAUAGGACCACGUCUUGGAUGGUGUGGUGGAAAGUUUUUUCGGUGUGGGAUGAGCUCGCGGCCUAUCAGCUUGUUGGUGGGGUAAUGGCCUACCAAGGCGUCGACGGGUAGCCGGCCUGAGAGGGUGUACGGCCACAUUGGGACUGAGAUACGGCCCAGACUCCUACGGGAGGCAGCAGUGGGGAAUAUUGCACAAUGGGCGCAAGCCUGAUGCAGCGACGCCGCGUGGGGGAUGACGGCCUUCGGGUUGUAAACUCCUUUCGCCAGGGACGAAGCG
rnacentral:rRNA from 1 species